UACGUAGGGGGCAAGCGUUGUCCGGAAUCACUGGGCGUAAAGCGCGCGCAGGCGGUCAUCUACGUCUGGGGUGAAAGCCCGGAGCUCAACUCCGGGAUUGCCUUGGAUACGGGAUGACUUGAGGAUCGGAGAGGCAAGGGGAAUUCCACGUGUAGCGGUGAAAUGCGUAGAGAUGUGGAGGAACACCUGUGGCGAAGGCGGCUUCCUGGACUAAUACUGACACUGAGGCGCGAAAGCGUGGGGAGCAAACAGG
rnacentral:rRNA from 1 species